rnacentral:rRNA from 1 species
GAUGAACGCUGGCGGCGUGCCUAAUACAUGCAAGUCGAGCGAACAGACGAGGAGCUUGCUCCUCUGACGUUAGCGGCGGACGGGUGAGUAACACGUGGAUAACCUACCUAUAAGACUGGGAUAACUUCGGGAAACCGGAGCUAAUACCGGAUAAUAUAUUGAACCGCAUGGUUCAAUAGUGAAAGACGGUUUUGCUGUCACUUAUAGAUGGAUCCGCGCCGCCUUAGCUAGUUGGUAAGGUAACGGCUUACCAAGGCAACGAUGCGUAGCCGACCUGAGAGGGUGAUCGGCCACACUGGAACUGAGACACGGUCCAGACUCCUACGGGAGGCAGCAGUAGGGAAUCUUCCGCAAUGGGCGAAAGCCUGACGGAGCAACGCCGCGUGAGUGAUGAAGGUCUUCGGAUCGUAAAACUCUGUUAUUAGGGAAGAACAAAUGUGUAAGUAACUGUGCACGUCUUGACGGUACCUAAUCAGAAAGCCACGGCUAACUACGUG